GGACCGUAGCGCCGGGAAGGCGGCCAGAGGGUAACACCUGCCGGGGCGGGAGGCGCGGGGGCCUCCAGGUGCACACACCUGCGCGUGGGCUGGGCUCGGGCCGGCCGGGACCCUGGACCCUGGACCCCGGACCCCGCGCCCCCGACCCACAGCCGCACGACCGCGGUGCCAGAUGGGGGAAGGGGACGCGGGCGGCGGCGACACUCACCCGGCAGCGCCUCCUCCUUCGCCGGCAGCAGCAGCAGAGCCAGCGACCCCCGGCACCAUCUUCCGCCGCCGCCUAGUCGUCGGCGGCGGAGAAGGACGCGGGCAGGCAAAUGGGGGACCCUGAGGCAACGCCGAGGGCUCGGCAGGGCCGCGGACGCCGCCGCAGCUGGGUUUGUUAUUGUCGACUCGGUCUCUUCCUCCGCGGCGCAUGCCGGGAAACGGCCGGCCGGGGGAGGGGCGCGCCUGGAGGCGCAGAGAGGCGUCUGCGCAGGUCCGGAAGUCGGCAGACUGCCGGGAACGGGGCGGUGCCGCCUCCGGCUCUCAGCCGGCCGGGCAAGUUGGCUGUCCUGGCCUGACCCUGGGAGACUCCGCGGGGGCCGCCUGCCGUGGUGUUAGCUGCCGUCCCAGCGCGGACUUUCCCAAGACGCGGACCGCCGGGACCGCACGCCGCUGGCAAGCGCCCCCCAGUUAGCUCUGCAAGGGUGGGCGGCACCGAUUUUCUCAGACCUGGCGAGGCAGGAAAACAUCCGAGAGAGAGAAGAGUGAACUAGGCCGAUCGCAGUGAAAACGUCAACGCCACAACCGCGUCUCCAACUUCACGACGUGAGUCCUGUAGCGGGUCUG
rnacentral:lncRNA from 13 species